UAUUUGUGAAAACAGGACAGGUAAGUGAAUAAACAACGAUUAUCAAACGUGUUAUUUUGGGUGUUACUGUUGUCAUGCUAGCUAGCGUGAGCAAGUUAUCAGCUAAAGGGCUAACAUGUUGGGAAGCUAACAUUAGUAACUGUUACUCUAGUCUAGAUCGAAGCCAACUAACGUUAGACUUAAUGUUAGUUGUGUUUAAUUGUUUUUGAACCAGGUGUGUGACGUUUCAUAUCGAUUGGGUUUAUAUUCAACCUGGGGCGCAACAGCACAUUUUCUGAGGGGUAUGCGAGAUCAGUUUUGGAUAAUAGAGUUAAGAAAUUGCAACAAACGCGAAUUUAAAUGCAAAUUAACAUAUUUCCUUCAACCAUAUAUUCUAUACAAAUAACGUGUUAAUUCACUUUCUUAUAAUCGACAAUUGAAUGCAAACUCAGCUGAUGAUGGCCAUUUGCCUUUUCUAAUGAUCAAAACAACAGAAAAGCCAACAAGUUAAAUUGUCAUAUCGUUAGAUAUUUGAACAGGCUCAUUAGCUAUUACGUUUAACAAAACAAAGCAAUUAUUCAAGAUAUUACAUUUUUCACUUAACAGGUCAAUCAUUCCUAGGCUCUGAACACAAAAGCAACAUGUCCAUGGAUAGUGGUGCUGGAGGAACGGACAGUGGCGAUGGCACAUUGUUGCAACUCAAGACAAUUUGCAGCACAUAAAACUGCACAUCUGCUGAUGAGUUUACGUUCUGUUGUAACAGCUCCAAAGUGAAGGCCAAGAAGCAGAGCCCAAAAAAAGUGCAAUCCUGUCAGUCAUCGAAGGCCAUUCCAUCAGAUACAUGCCCAAGACUGUACUACUGGAUCUGCCAACACCUCUGACCACUCUUUAUGCGAGCCCCAGGCUUGAAAUGGAUUUGCCCGCACUGCUGGAGGAGGGUGCUGAGACCUUUGAGAAGCUGCAUCUCACACCAGAGCAGAUGGGGUCUAAAAAAUGAGGACACUGCCAGAGAAUCGUACCCGAGGGCGAUGCAGGACCUCCAAGCAGACCUCCACGUUGCAGCAUCUGGAUUUAUAAGUAACCCAGAGGUGCCAUGGAUCGGUGGAUCACCAGAUGGUGUGGUGAUGGUGUUAUAGAUUAAGUGUCCUUUCAGUGGAAAAGACCGCACCCUACAUGAAUGUGUAAAAGACUCAAGGUUCUGUCUGAGGAAGACUCAAGGUUCUGUCACUGAGGAAGGUGUAAUGAGCCUAAAGCUUAAUCACAGUUACAUGCAUCAAGUCCAAGCCCAAAUGUGUGUAGCAGAGGUAACAUACUGUGAUUGUCAAGAACUAUUUAUACAGCGCAUCCCGUUUGAUGAUACAAAAAAAACAAUGUCACAUGUCAAACAAUAGCUGCCAAAACUAAUCUCUUACUGUGUUUGCAACUUACUUUGUGACCCAUUUUACUGAGAUGACAAAUCUGCCAAAUGUCUCUUAUACAUGUACUGUAUGUUUAAGUAAAAAUGAAGCAUUAACUUUGUCUGUAGUACAUUUUCAGAAAAUGGAAAAAUAAACAAAAUUCAGAAAUAAAUUCAGAGUACUCAGAACCUAUGUUUUUUUAUCCUUAUGGUUAUGUAUUUGUGUACAAAUUCAUCUGACAACACUGAAACAUACAUAUUAAAAUAACAUAGAUUGCACAGAAAACAACUGUAUAUAUAAUAAUUGGUUCUGCGUUGUAGUUCAGAGUAGUAUUUAAACAAAUCAUAGGAAUCAAACAUGAAUAAAUACAAUAAUUUCUAUAUUAUUGUAUAUUAUUAUUUUUUUAUCAUCUGUGUUCUGUCCUGUUGCUGUCUUUCUGUUGCACUGUGGAGCUUCUGUCACUAUAACAAAUUCCUGGCCAAUAAAGCUCAUUCUAUUCUCAUUCUAUUCUAUUCUGAAAAAGUCAUAAAUAUGACUAAUAAAUUAUUACUGUAAGAUGGAACAUUCAUCCAUGUUACAUUGUGGUAAACAACUACUGUCUGUCUAUUCUGUGGGGACAAUGGAUAGCCAAAUAUUACAAAGAGCACAACAAACUGUCACCAUCUUGUCAAGUGAGGUAGGUUGUCCUUUAGUGGCCCCUUCGGUGUGGUGGUCUUAAGGGUGGUGUAUUUGUUUCUG